CACGUGGGCGGGUAUUUAAGUCAGGGGUGAAAUCCCAGAGCUCAACUCUGGAACUGCCUUUGAUACUGGGUACCUAGAGUAUGGAAGAGGUGAGUGGAAUUCCGAGUGUAGAGGUGAAAUUCGUAGAUAUUCGGAGGAACACCAGUGGCGAAGGCGGCUCACUGGUCCAUUACUGACGCUGAGGUGCGAAAGCGUGGGGAGCAAACA
rnacentral:rRNA from 1 species